AGGGUUUGAUUAUGGCUCAGGAUAAACGCUGGCGGCGCACAUAAGACAUGCAAGUCGAACGGAAGUCGUUAUAAAAAGGAUUGAAGAUUUAUCUGAUUGAGAUUUUAUAACAAUGGCUUUAGUGGCGGACUGGUGAGUAACACGUAAGCAACCUGCCUGUUAGAGGGGAACAACAGUUAGAAAUGACUGCUAAUACCGCAUAUGCCAUAGUAAGGACAUCCUUACAGUGGGAAAGGAGAAAUCCGCUAACAGAUGGGCUUGCGUCUGAUUAGAUAGUUGGUGGGGUAACGGCCUACCAAGUCGACGAUCAGUAGCCGGACUGAGAGGUUGAACGGCCACAUUGGGACUGAGAUACGGCCCAG
rnacentral:rRNA from 1 species